CCUACGGGAGGCUGCAGUGAGGAAUAUUGGUCAAUGGACGCAAGUCUGAACCAGCCAUGCCGCGUGCAGGAUGACGGCUCUAUGAGUUGUACACUGCUUUUGUACGAGGGUAAACCCCGAUACGUGUAUCGGGUUGAAAGUAUCGUACGAAUAAGGAUCGGCUAACUCCGUGCCAGCAGCCGCGGUAAUACGGAGGAUCCGAGCGUUAUCCGGAUUUAUUGGGUUUAAAGGGUGCGUAGGCGGUUUGAUAAGUUAGAGGUGAAAUGUCGGGGCUCAACCCCGACACUGCCUCUAAUACUGUCGGACUAGAGAAUAGUUGCGGUAGGCGGAAUGUAUGGUGUAGCGGUGAAAUGCUUAGAGAUCAUACAGAACACCGAUUGCGAAGGCAGCUUACCAAACUAUAUCUGACGUUGAGGCACGAAAGCGUGGGGAGCAAACAGGAUUAGAUACCCUUGUAGUC
rnacentral:rRNA from 1 species